rnacentral:rRNA from 1 species
UACGUAGGCAGCGAGCGUUGUUCGGAGUUACUGGGCGUAAAGAGUGCGUAGGCGGCGUUCCAAGUUUGGUGUGAAAUCUCCCGGCUUAACUGGGAGGGUGCGCCGAAAACUGGGAUGCUAGAGUGCGGGAGAGGUGAGUGGAACUGCGAGUGUAGAGGUGAAAUUCGUAGAUAUUCGCAAGAACACCAGUGGCGAAGGCGGCUCACUGGCCCGGUACUGACGCUGAGGUGCGAAAGCGUGGGGAGCAAACAGGG